CUUGUUGGGGACAAACUGAGCUGCAAAAGCAUGAGAGCAGUGAAGAGUCCUCAGGUUCAUCAGCUGCCACCAACUGCUGUCAGCAACACAGAGCCAAAGGAAUGGGAAGGUGUUCUGAUUCUCUAUCUGCUUUUCGUCUUGGUGGCAUUUGCUUGGUUUCCCUGUCGCUUGCACACUGUGCUUGGUAUCAAGUCUGGAUACAAACUCAUCAGCUCAGUUUCCAUCGCCUUCUCCAUCUUCCCUGCAGGCUCUGCUUCUUGUUUCCUCUCUUCUUGCACAAACUGCCUCCCCACCCUGGUUUCUGCUGCUCUCACAACCCCUGUGUCUAGCACACCUUAACCACAGCUGACCAAUUUCUGCACCUGUGGAAAUGAUGGCAAAGAAGUUGACAGCACAUGAGCUCAGCAUUAACUCUCCACCUCAGUGUGGAGGUGCCUGCAGAAGUUGCUGGUGUGAAAAGCAAAGAGAGACUAAGGGGCAUCAAGCUUGUCCUCUACACUCUUCACCGUCAGAUCCAUCUCUGUGGCACUUCAGGCAUGCAAAAAGGACGUGUUUAUGUCGUGUGUGCUGUGGAUGUGAAAGAAUGUCUAAACCUAGCAUUCAAACUGUGGAAAAACUGUGAAAUCAGUAAAUACAGAACAGGAACUGAGAAAAAUUUAUGUUCAGCUGUUUCCCUACUGUAACUUGGAAAAAGAAUCUGAAUGUUUUUAACUUGCCUCCAAGUUAGUAUGCUUUUUGUAAUUCUGGGAGAGCUUUGGUGCUGGGAUUGUUAGCAUAACUUGUUCAAAUAUUCCAAGUUCCCACCUCCUCUUACUCAUG